rnacentral:rRNA from 1 species
GAUGAACGCUAGCUACAGGCUUAACACAUGCAAGUCGCGGGGCAGCAUGGGGGUUGCUUGCAAUCCCCGAUGGCGACCGGCGCACGGGUGAGUAACGCGUAUCCAACCUGCCCUUCACCACGGGAUAACCCGGCGAAAGUCGGACUAAUACCGUAUGUUGUCCAUUGACGGCAUCCGAUUUGGACGAAAGGUUUGGCGGUGAAGGAUGGGGAUGCGUCCGAUUAGCUGGACGGCGGGGUGACGGCCCACCGUGGCGACGAUCGGUAGGGGUUCUGAGAGGAAGGUCCCCCACACUGGAACUGAGACACGGUCCAGACUCCUACGGGAGGCAGCAGUGAGGAAUAUUGGUCAAUGGGCGUAAGCCUGAACCAGCCAAGUAGCGUGCAGGAUGACGGCCCUAUGGGUUGAAAACUGCUUUUAUGCGGGGAUAAAGUGGCCCACGUGUGGGUUUUUGCAGGUACCGCAUGAAUAAGGACCGGCUAAUUCCGUG